AUGUAUCCACUGCAAUGGAAGCUUUGAUUCAUCCAUUCUUCGAUGAGCUUCGGGAUCCAAACACCCGUUUGCCGAACGGACGUUUUCUUCCACCACUCUUUAAUUUCAAGCAACAUGAGCUGAAAGGAGUGCCAAUGGAGACUCUGGUGAAGCUGAUCCCCGAGCAUGCGAGAAAGCAAUGUGCCUUCCUAGGAUUUUAGUAUUGCAAUUCAAUCAUGGCUAGCCAAUGUGUUGUAUUUGUGUACCUUUUAGGUGAUUUGUUUUGAGGUCCAUGAGCCAGCAGCAGCACAACAGAUAUGUUCUUGUGGAACCUAUUGUUUGUUUAUCCAGUGUUUUUUUUCUUCAUUUGUAAUACCAUUUAGUUUAUGAACCAAACCAGAAACUUUGUAUUGUGCUUUCUACUAACCCUUCAUCACUUUAUAGUAACAAUACUAGUAUUUGUUCUUUUA